GAUCUUUCUGCCGAGAUCUUUCAAAAAUGUUUCCAAGAAAUGGCUAGACAAUUACAAAAAACCCAGGUUUGGCUCCCCAUCGCUGGAAAGCUGAACACAAGAGGUGUUUGAGUGACAUGAGUCUCUUAAUCAUUUAAAAAUUAAAGCAUCAUCAACCAGCACUGUAGAAUUAAGAAUAUAAGGCAUCCC